rnacentral:rRNA from 1 species
UACAGAGGGUGCGAGCGUUAAUCGGAAUUACUGGGCGUAAAGCGUGCGUAGGUGGAGAUUUAAGUUGAGUGUGAAAGCCCCGGGCUCAACCUGGGAAUGGCGAUGGAUACUGGCUCGCUAGAGUGCGGUAGAGGAGAGUGGAAUUCCCGGUGUAGCAGUGAAAUGCGUAGAGAUCGGGAGGAACAUCAGUUGCGAAGGCGGCUCUCUGGACCAGCACUGACACUGAGGCACGAAAGCGUGGGGAGCAAACAGG